rnacentral:rRNA from 1 species
UACAGAGGGUGCGAGCGUUAAUCGGAAUUACUGGGCGUAAAGCGCACGUAGGCGGCUUGGUAUGUCGGGUGUGAAAUCCCCGGGCUCAACCUGGGAACUGCAUCCGAAACUGCCUUGCUCGAGUAUGGGAGAGGGAAGUGGAAUUUCCGGUGUAGCGGUGAAAUGCGUAGAUAUCGGAAGGAACAUCAGUGGCGAAGGCGACUUCCUGGCCUGUUCUUGACGCUGAGGCGCGAAAGCUAGGGGAGCAAACGGG